GGGCCCGCACAAGCGGCGGAGCAUGCGGAUUAAUUCGAUGCAACGCGAAGAACCUUACCAAGGCUUGACAUAUAGAGGAAAAGUGUAGAAAUACACUCCCCGCAAGGUCUCUAUACAGGUGGUGCAUGGUUGUCGUCAGCUCGUGUCGUGAGAUGUUGGGUUAAGUCCCGCAACGAGCGCAACCCUCGUCCUAUGUUGCCAGCACGUAAUGGUGGGAACUCAUGGGAUACUGCCGGGGUCAACUCGGAGGAAGGUGGGGAUGACGUCAAAUCAUCAUGCCCCUUAUGUCUUGGGCUUCACGCAUGCUACAAUGGCCGGUACAGAGGGCAGCGAUACCGCAAGGUGGAGCGAA
rnacentral:rRNA from 1 species